rnacentral:rRNA from 1 species
GACGAACGCUGGCGGCGUGCCUAAUACAUGCAAGUAGAACGCACAGUUUAUACCGUAGCUUGCUACACCAUAAACUGUGAGUUGCGAACGGGUGAGUAACGCGUAGGUAACCUGCCUGGUAGCGGGGGAUAACUAUUGGAAACGAUAGCUAAUACCGCAUAAUAUUGAUUAUUGCAUGAUAAUUGAUUGAAAGAUGCUAUUGCAUCACUACCAGAUGGACCUGCGUUGUAUUAGCUAGUAGGUGAGGUAACGGCUCACCUAGGCGACGAUACAUAGCCGACCUGAGAGGGUGAUCGGCCACACUGGGACUGAGACACGGCCCAGACUCCUACGGGAGGCAGCAGUAGGGAAUCUUCGGCAAUGGACGAAAGUCUGACCGAGCAACGCCGCGUGAGUGAAGAAGGUUUUCGGAUCGUAAAGCUCUGUUGUAAGAGAAGAACGGGUGUGAGAGGGAAAGUUCACACU